UCCAAUCAGGGGCCCCGGUGAGGGUGGCCGACAACUUCGUCAUCUCCCGAGAUCCCUGUGUCAUAGUCGCGUCCCGCCUACAAUGGGUGGGGCGUCCCCGUGGUGGCUCCGCCUUCUCUGCUCUGAGAAGAGGAAGCCUGAGACCUCGCAAGCGGGAAGUGGUCCAGAAACUGCUCAGGUGUGAGUGUAGGUGGCUGAGCAACAGGCAGUCCUGCUUCUUGAUUCCCCACAAAGAUACAGGCUUUAAGGUGAUUGAUGAGGACAGAGUCCCUCAGCUAUGAAGUGACUGAAUUUUGGAAACUAUGUCCAGAACUCCACAGUGCAUAUUCAGGUGCUCUUCCUUCAGGCCUGCAGGUGGACAGCAAGAGCAACAAGAAUACCAUGGAGAGGAGGUGAUUAUAACAACUUCCUUAUAAAAGCAGUUACAGCUGGGGCACCUGAAGAAGACUUCAGGACGGCUGAGCAGUUCCCCUUGGGUGGUUUGGGAGUUGCCAUGGCUACUGCUUCAUGCACUCCCUGAGGAAGAUGCUGGCCACUGUCUCCCACAUAUUAUCUGGCACUGCCCAGAAGCCGGCAAGGAGAGUGCUGAUGGCAUCCUGCAACUUUGCAAAUGAUGCUACAUUCAAGAUUAAGAAAUGUGACCUUCACCAGCUGGGAUAGGGCUCUCCUUUCAUGACAGUACUCACCAGAGAGGAUGGGCUCCAAUAUUACAGGAUGAUGCAGACUGUGCGCCAAAUGGAGUUAAAGGCAGAUCGGCUAUAUAAGCAGAAGGUUAUCCGUGGUUUCUGUCACUUGUGUGAUGGUCAGGAAGCUUGCUGUGUGGGCCUGGAGGCUGGAAUAAAUCCCAGCAACCACCUCAUCAUGGCCUUUCAGGCUCAUGGCUUUACCUUCACUCAGGGCCUUUCUGUCUGUGAAAUUCUCACAGAGCUUAUGGGGUGAAGAGGAGGCUGUGCUAAGGGGAAAGGAGGAUCAAUACAUAUGUAUGCCAAUAACUUCUAUAGGGGCAAUGGCAUCAUGGGUGCUCAGGUGCCCCUGGGAGCUGGGAUUGCCCUGGCCUAUAAGUACAAUGGGAAAGAUGAUGUCUGUUUGACUGUAAGUAGCUAAAGUGGUAGAUGGUGUGGGCUCAUCACGUAUUAACAUCAGAGAUAGCCUGGGUAGGGAUUCCAACUGUUCACUUUCAAUGUUUCUUUUUAAAAUUCAGUUAGACUUGAAAAUAAUGGCAAUUCAUUAUUGUUUUAUAAACUUUCUUUGAAAGCAUUUUUAUUGGUUAAAUAAGUUAGGUCAAGAGCAGGUGUCCAGCUAAUCUUCAUAUUAGAACUUUAAAGACUUGAGGAACUAAUGAUCUAUGCCUCUCUAAUGAUUGAGUUGAUCUGAAUGUUUUCAGAAUUGCCAAAGCACAGAUGCAUGUUAAAGAGAUUAGGAAAAGAAAACAACCAAAAAAAGAGAAGCACAUUGCAGUCAAAUAUGUCACAUGUCUCUACAUCUCAAUAAGGAUGAUGACUCUUUUGUGCAGAGUUACAUGUCACUGAAAAGCCUAUGAUCAAAAAUAGUUGCUAUGGUUGACAGGUGAGACCACAAAGUGGAAGAAGUCUAAUCUUGAGCCACACAUAUGUUUGAGAAACAUCCUAGUGACCAUUUAUUUACAGCAACAAGCUUGGUCAUUCAUUAGUAACCAAAGCAGGAAGAAGUCAUCUGACAUUAGUGUAUACAUUUAUUCAUUUCUACUUGAAUUUACAAACUCUUGAAAGAUUUAGUUGUUAGAUGUCUAUGCUUGUUCAGAAAAUGAUAAGUAAAUUUUAUUUAGAAUAUUAUUAGUGAAGAAAUUUAGUAUAUGUUAUCAUAUACAUUUUUCAUAUUUUCUUGAGGAGGAUAGAACAUUUAUUAUUAAUCCUAGGGGCUGGCACUGUGGCAUAAUGGGCAAAGCCAGUGCCUGCAGUGCUAGCAUCCUGUAUGGGUGCCAGUUUGAGACUUGGCUGCUCCACUUCCAAUCCAGCUCUCUGUUUUGACCUGGGAAAGCAGUAGAUGAUGGCCCAAGCCCCUGAGCCCCUGCAGCUGCAUAGGAGACUGAGAGAAAGCUCCUGGCUUCUGGCUUCAGGUCAGCACAGCUCCGGCCAUUGCAGCCAAUUGAGGAGUGAACCAGCGGAUGGAAGACCUCUCUCUCUGCCUCUCCUUCUAUCUCUUAUAACUUGACUUUAAAAUAAUAAAUAAAUCUUUAAAAUAUUAUUAAUCCUGACUAUCAGCACUGCUGAACAGAGAGAGCUUGUUCAGUGUUUAUGGAUAGGGCUGUUGGGUGGGCUGGGCCCCUUUGCAGAGGCUGCUCUGGAAUCAGGGUCAAGAAUACCAAAGGCCGGUCACCCACUGAGUGGAAGCUGAGCCACGGGAGCCACUGGACCCGCCAGACCCGCCAGACCCGCCGGAGCUGCAGAGUCUGUGCACCAGCGCUGGAAGGGGGGUGAGACCAAAACCUCUUGGUAACCUGAGACAUAGGCAGGGAAAGGCAGAAAGAGCCUUCAGAGAAUAAGGCCUGAAACCCCAUUGGGGAAAGUUCACCAGGCUGGCUGGAGGAGAGAAAAUAAUUGAAUAAAUAAGGGGAACCGGCAUGGGCAUUUAACCUCUCUCUCCACUCACCUUACAAAGCCUAGCAAGACAAAGGGCAGGUGCCAUUUUACAUAAGUAAAGCGGUGCACGCCAUUUUGCAUAGGUAAAGCAGGUGCCCCUCAUUAGCCAAGCAGGAAAACCUGACUCUUGUAAGCAAAUGAAUACCCACAGGGGCCAGAUUUCAUACAUCAACUACUCUCAAUUCCACUCAGCUGUGUGGAAUUACUUCCCGAUUCAAAAAAAAAAAAAAAAAAAAGAGCGAGCGAGAGCGAGCAAGAGAACAAUCAGGGUGAAUCACCUUUGGCACACCCUAAACCCUGUAGAAACAGAGCUCUCUGGCCACACCCAUCACAGCCUCUAAGGAUCCAUCAAAAGCAGACAGUCCUCUUAAUAAAGAGUCACAGUAUAACGAGAAAAAAACAAAUAAUAUCUCUAAUAUGCCAAACAAACACAAAGGCUGAGGUAACAAGAACAAGGAAGACACUAUGACGCCCCCAAAUGAAAUAGACACCCCAAUUCAAGAUUAUGAAGAUGAUGACAUAGAAGAAAUGCAAGAAGCAGAUCUCAAAAAAUUGAUAAGAACAUUAAGAAGUUCUCAAAAACAAAUUCUCGAACUACAGAAAUCCUUAAUGGACAAGAUAGAAAAUCUCUCUCAUGAAAAGGAAAUAUUAAGGAGGAAUCAAAAUUAAAUGAAACAACUAGUAGAAAAUGAAACUGUGAUAGUGACGAGAAAUCAUAAUGAAAUGAAAAAUUCAAUAGAUCAAAUGACAAACACAUUAGAGAGCCUUAAAAACAGAAUGGGUGAAGCAGAAGAGAGAAUAUCAGACUUAGAAGACAGAGCACAGGAAAAUAUACAAUCAAACCAAAGAAAAGAAGAGGAAAUUAGAACUCUAAAAAAUAUUGUUGGGAAUCCUCAGGAUACUAUUAAAAGACCCAACAUUCGGGUUCUAGGAGUUCCUGAAGGCAUGGAGAGGGAGAAAGGAUUAGAAGGCCUUUUUAGUGAGAUACUAGCAGAGAACUUUCUGAGUUUGGAGAAGGACAGAGACAUCCUAGUACAGGAAGCUCAUAGAACCCCCAGUAAACAUGACCAAAAGAGAUCCUCACCACGACACCUGGUAAUUAAACUCACCACAGUGAAACAUAAAGAAAAGAUCCUAAAAUGUGCAAGAGAGAAACGUCAGAUUACUCUCAGAGGAUCUCCAAUCAGAAUCACAGCUGACUUCUCAUCAGAAACCCUACAAGCUAGGAGGGAAUGGUGAGACAUAGCACAGGUUCUAAGAGAGAAAAAAUGCCAUCCCAGAAUAUUAUAUCCUGCUAAGCUCUCAUUUGUGAAUGAAGGUGAAAUAAAGACCAUUCACAACAAACAGAAAUUGAAAGAAUUUGUCGCCACUCGUCCAGCUCUGCAAAAGAUGCUUAAAGAUGUGUUACACACAGAGACACAGAAACACGGUCAUCAAUAUGAAAGAAGGGAAAGGAAGAAGACCUACCAGUAAAAGAGCAUGGGAAGCUCAAAGCAUAUAUUAGAACUUAUCUUUGGCAAAUGGCAGGGCAAAGUCACUAUGUAUCAAUAGUCACAUUAAACGUGAAUGGACUUAACUCAUCAGUUAAAAGACACCGAUUGGCUGACUGGCUUAAGGAACAAAACCUAUCUAUUUGCUGCUUACAAGAAACACAUCUUUCCAACAAAGAUCCAUACAGACUGAAAGUGAAAGGCUGGAAGAAGAUAUACCGUGCUAACAGAAAUGAAAAAAGAGCGGGCGUAGCCAUAAAUAUUACCACAAAAACUGUUAGGAGAGACAAAGAGGGAUACUAUAUAAUGAUUAAGGGAUCAAUUCAACAGGAAGAUAUAACGAUUAUCAAUGUAUAUGCACCUAAUUACAGGGCACCGGUUUAUUUAAAAGAUUUGUUGAGGGACUUAAAGGGAGACUUAGACUCCAAUACAAUAAUACUGGGGGACUUCAAUACCCCACUCUCAGAAAUAGACAGAUCAACAAGACAGAAGAUCAACAAGGAGACAGUAGAUUUAAAUGACACUAUAGCCCAAAUGGAUCUAACAUAUCUACAGAACUUUUCAUCCUACACAGAAAGCAUUUACAUUCCUCUCAGCAGUACAUGGAACCUUCUCUAGGAUUGACCACAUACUAGGCCAUAAAGCAAGUCUCAGCAAAUUUAAAAGAAUUAGAAUCAUACCAUGCAGCUUCUCAGACUAUAAAGGAAUGAAGUUGGAAAUUAGCAACUCAGGAAUCCCUAAAGCAUAUGCAAAUGCAUGGAGAUUGAACAACAUGCUCCUGAAUGAACAAUGGGUCACAGAAGAAAUUAAAAGAGAAAUCAAAAAGUUUCUGGAAGUAAAUGAGGAUAACAGCACAACAUACCAAAACUUAUGGGAUACAGCAAAAGCAGUGUUAAGAGGAAAGUUUAUAUCAAUAGGUGCCUACAUCAAGAAAUUGGAAAGGCACCAAAUAGAUGAGCUUUCACUGCAUCUCAAGGAUCUAGAAAAUCUGCAGCAAACCAGACCCAAAUCUAGUAGGAGAAGAGAAAUAAUUAAAAUAAAAGAAGAAAUCAACAGGAUUGAAUCAAAAAAAUUACAAAAAAAUCAGCCAAGUGAAGAGCUGGUUUUUUGAAAAAAUAAACAAAAUUGACACCACAUUGGCACAACUAACUAAAAAAAGAAAAGACCAAAUAAAUAAAAUCAGAGAUGAAAAAGAAAAUGUAACCACAGACACCAGAGAAAUAAAAAGAAUCAUCAGAAAUUACUACUAGGACCUAUAUGCCAGCAAACAGGGAAGCCUAUCAGAAAUGGAUAGAUUCCUGGACACAUGCAACCUACCUAAAUUGAACCAGGAAGACAUAGAAAACCUAAACAGACUCAUAACUGAGACAGAAAUUGAAACAGUAAUAAAGGCCCUCCCAACAAAGAAAAGCCCAGGACCAGAUGGAUUCAUUGCUGAAUUCUACCAGACAUUUAAAGAAGAACUAACUCCAAUUCUUCUCAAACUAUUCAGAACAAUCAAAAAAGAUGAAAUCCUCCCAAAC